AGAGAGAGGAGCAGCUGGACCCGGAGGACCCAUUGGUCUAACAGGACGCAAUGGCCCUCAAGGACCCCCGGGACCUGCUGGAGAGAAGGGUGCUCCGGGUGAGAAAGGACCUGCUGGUCCUGCCGGCCGGGAUGGCAUCCAAGGUCCAGUUGGACUCCCAGGCCCAGCCGGACCUCAGGGUCAACCUGGAGAGGAUGGUGACAAGGGAGAAGUUGGAGAACCUGGUCAAAAGGGAAGCAAGGGUGACAAAGGCGAA
rnacentral:lncRNA from 1 species